rnacentral:tRNA from 1 species
UUGGUCAAGUGGUUAAGACACCGCCCUUUCACGGCGGUAACACGGGUUCGAAUCCCGUAGGGGUCACCA